rnacentral:snoRNA from 1 species
AAGGCUAUGCUUUCAGGGGGGUUAUUUCUCUAGUUGCUGAGUGGAGAAAAAUAGCUAUAAAAGGUUGGUUUUGUUAACCUUGAUAUGGCCUUGUGGUGUUUCCUUCUGAGCAUAAGAAUGGUAGAAAGCACUGUUGUGUGAUAGUUGUUUUCUACUGUAGAAGGGUGUUUUCUUCUUCCUCAGAAGAGCAGGAGAAAAGAACACAGUCUGACUGGU